rnacentral:lncRNA from 1 species
AAUGAACCCUCACAUUUACAUCAAUUUGAAAUCCAAAACAACUCAAAAGCGAAAGAACAGUCUUCAAUUAGUACUGGGACAACUGGACAUGCACAUGCAAAGAAUGAAAUUGGAUAUACAAAGUUAACUUAAAAUGUAUCAAAAGUAUAUAUGUAAUUGUCAGGUGGGAUAAUCCUUACCUGUUCCUCCUUUAGAGGGCAGACAGAACAUGAUGAUUGAAGUUCAAAUGGUAAGUGAUUAGCAUCUCUGCUUAAUUAUGACCUGCAACACCCUGAUUGCGCCUGAUUCUAAAAAAAAAGAAGAAAAAGAAGAAGAAUGUAUAUGCAAGAAUUAAAACCAAAAAGUUCUUAGGAAAAAACAGACACAAAUCUUCAUGACUUAGGUUAGAUGAUGGCGUUUUAGAAUCCCAAAAUAACAAGAAACCAAAGAAAAACUGAAAAAUUGGACUUGAUGAAAAUUAUAACUUGUCUUUAUCGUUCAAAAUACAAAUUAAAGAAUGGGAGAAAAUACCUGCAAGUAAAACAUUUGAUAAGGGUAUAUUUAUAUUUAUAAUAAUACAGAAUUAUUAUCACUCAAUAAGACAAUCCAAUGUAAAAACAGAUAGCAAACUGGAAUAUCCAGUGAGGAUAUGCAAAUGGACAUGAAAAAAUGCUCAAUAUCAUUAGUUCCCAGAGAAAUGCAAAUUAAAAUGACAAAGAGAUACCACUUUAUACCCACUAGGAUAACCAUUAUCAAAAAUAAUUAACAAGUAUUGACAAGGAUAUGAGAAAUUGCAAUACUCAUUCACUAAUAAUGGGAAUAUAAAAUGCGCUGAGAAACAGGUAACAGUUCCUCAAACUAUAAAAUAUAAAGUAACCA